rnacentral:rRNA from 1 species
GUGGGGAAUAUUGGACAAUGGGGGGAACCCUGAUCCAGCCAUGCCGCGUGUGUGAAGAAGGCCUUUUGGUUGUAAAGCACUUUAAGCGAGGAGGAGGCUACCGAGAUUAAUACUCUUGGAUAGUGGACGUUACUCGCAGAAUAAGCACCGGCUAACUCUGUGCCAGCAGCCGCGGUAAUACAGAGGGUGCAAGCGUUAAUCGGAUUUACUGGGCGUAAAGCGCGCGUAGGUGGCCAAUUAAGUCAAAUGUGAAAUCCCCGAGCUUAACUUGGGAAUUGCAUUCGAUACUGGUUAGCUAGAGUAUGGGAGAGGAUGGUAGAAUUCCAGGUGUAGCGGUGAAAUGCGUAGAGAUCUGGAGGAAUACCGAUGGCGAAGGCAGCCAUCUGGCCUAAUACUGACACUGAGGUGCGAAAGCAUGGGGAGCAAACAGGAUUAGAAACCCUGGUAGUCC